rnacentral:snRNA from 1 species
GUAUUUGCGCAGUGGUAGUAUCAUAACCAAUGAAGUUAAUCUGAGGUGUGAUUAUUGCUAGUUGAAAAAACUCUUCCUGCUUCACAGACGGGCUGUGAGACCCCCCGCAAGGAGAGCAGGAUAGGAACUUGACUGGUUUUGCCUGAGCC